rnacentral:tRNA from 1 species
GCCGAUGUAGCUCAGUGGUAGAGCAGCGGUAUCGUAAACCGCAGGUCGUCGGUUCGAUCCCGACCAUCGGCUCCA